GUUCUAAUACAUGUUCUUAAAAAAAAUAAUUCUAAUCCUUUUACAAUCUAUAAAAAUUAGAGCCUCAAAAUACAAAUGUAUUACACAAUCUGCAACGAAAUAAUUUAAAAUUUAUGUCAAACUAUCUACCGUCCUCAAUUCAUAUUCUUCUUGUAACCCAUCAUGAAUCAAUUCUGAUUAAUGAAAACUGAAUCACAAUAAAUUAUAAUGAGUACGAAACUCAAUAAAUAAACCAGUUUUUCAUAUACGAAAGUACAUACAUACAUACAUAAAUAUAAUGCAAAUGGAUGAUGUGCCAUGGUAUUCGAAAACAUUGUAAAAUAAAUUAUCAAAAUCUCAUUCUGUAAUUUUCAAACUUUCGCAUUCUCUGUCAAAUCACUUAUUUCAACUUGAGCUACCUUCAUUCAAUUACUGCUUAGUAGGACACUCCUUUAACUUUCAUAACUUUCAUACACUUUCGGCUUCACGUCAACACGUCCCUCGCCCACUUAUCUCAUAAACACAAUAUAACAUCCAAAAUAUCCUCCACUAAGCCAAUAUCGAAUUCAAGCAUCCAAGCCAAAACUGUAAAACAAUCUUUCUUUCUUUAAAUUUUGUUUGCUAAAAUCCACUUUUUUUAUUUUAUAGAAAACAUAAUACAUUUUCGUACUCAUGCCAAUGAAAUUUCACACGUAUGUAUGCCCAUGUCCAUAAACACACAUAACAUAUAAUAACACAUCAUAUCAACACAUCACAUAAACACAUUGACAGAACAUAUAAAUCCAUAUCCGUAUAUAUCAAAAUAGGUUUUUCAAAUAUGUCAAAUAUAUAAUAUUAUUUAUUUUGAUUCAUUUAAAAAUUUAAUUUACUUACCUCUUGAUAUCCUCAAUAAAUAAAUACGUAUCGAUAUCAUUGGCCUAAAAAUAAAUAAAAAUACUCUCACAAGAUAAAAUUAAAUUAUAAUAAUAAACUUUAAUAUUCUCAAACUUCUCAAUAUAAUCACAUUCCAUACUUAACCUCAAAUAAUGUCAAUUUGAAUAUUAAAUUACUAAAAUACCCUUGAAUUAAAAAGUAUCAAAAUACCCCUAAAAUCAUAAUUUACCAAUUUAACCUCAAAACCAUAAAUUAACAACUUAUCCUCAAUUUCAGCAAUUACUAAAAUACCCACAAAGUCUGGAAUUACAAAAUUGCCCUCAGAGUGCGAAAUUACUGAAAUGCCCUUGCCGACCGACGGUGACCGGGAUUCAACCGAUGGCGACGGGAAGCUCAGGUCUGAAAAUUAUGGCCACGCUGAGUCCAACGGUGGCAACGGUGACUUCCCACGCGCAGCGACGGCACCGAAAUCUAGCUCGGAAACCGCGAAUGCUUAAGUGGCCGAUCGGCGGCAAAACGACGUCCCCAACGGCAGUGGAUGGCUGGAAAUGGCAGAGGGCAUGGUGGGGAACAAAACCCAAGUGGUAGCGUCACCGGAAACCGGCAAAAUCGCGGCGAAUUGGUGCGGCGAUCCUGCGGCUUUUCACGGUGGCUUUCCGGACAUAUUCCGGCGAUAAGGAUGGCAUGGAGAUGACCGGCAUCGCAGGAGCUUCCGAUCGGUACCAACCUUAGCUGGUGAGGUGGCCGGAACUGCGAGAUCCGGUCGGGUUACGUUCGCGGGUCGGGUUGACCCGAUUCUCUUUUCCCCCUCUCUCCCCCCGUGAGCUUUUCUUCCCUCUCUCUUUUUGUUUUUUCUCUCUCUCUCUCUCUCUAUUUGUAAGGGUGUGGGGGUAUUACACUCCAUUUGAUCCCCAAGAAAUUCAAAUUAAAAGUUGAUUUUUGUGACACAACUUGUACAGUUCACACACUUCAACAGAAAAAAGAAACGAAAUACUACAGUGAACAAUAAAUUUGUGGGCUACUCCUUCAACAUGGUGGCAUAUGUUCGGCGGAGGCAGCAUUUUUGCUUUUGCACAUCUGCCAUUUUUCACAAUGAAUGCCAUUUGCAUGCCCCAGCUCUGAUGACGGUCUAAAUGGCAGUGGACGAACCAUGCUCCUGUUAAUAAAUACCAAUAAUAUUAUUGUUGACAUAAAUUUUUGCUUAAUGUACAAUGAUUGAUUUGUAUUUUGAACUUUUUUUUAAAUCGAGUUCUGUAAUUUAUUUUUUUCUUAAAGCAAGUGUCUCAAAUCACAUGUUUCCUCGUGAUUAAUUGUUCUGAAAAAAAAAAAAAUUAUCAAAGGGUGCCCGCAUGUCGGCGAUAACUCUCUGACGCUCAAUUUAAUUUUUUUUACUCAAUUUUUAGAUAGAGAAAAUCAAGAGUGAGAUGGACUGAGUUUUUCUAACUCAUUUGGUGCCAUUUUUUCUCUUACCUUCAAAUGGGGGGAGGGGGGGUCUUGGCCUUUAUAUAGGCAAUUUAGAGUCGAUUGGAGAGGUUAUGCACUUUUCUUGUGACAAGUGUCAGUCAAAACCCAUGCAUGGAAACACAUAUUCAUAUGUAUCAAUGCUUGCUCAUGACAAGUAAUCUUUGGACAUUUACAUGUUUUUGGACCAUUAAUCUUUAAUGAAUUUUAGCUUAAAUUCGGCACUUAUAUUGACUCCUUACAAAGAGAAUUGAUUUUGCAACAUUUUGCCCGUAAGCGCAUUCCGCAGAAUAUUUGUUAGGUAGUAGGCUCAUUCCGUAGAAUGCUUAUUGGCAUGUUCGCACAUUCUAUAAGAUGCGUAUAUUUGCCCGUAGGUGCAUUUUCGUAGAAUGUAUAUUUAUCUGUAGCCGCAUUCCGUAGAAUGUAUAUUUGUUCGUAGGUGUAUUAUAUAGAAUGUGUAUUUGUCUGUAGGCCAAUUCCAUAAAAUGUGUAUUUGUCAUAGGUCCAUUCUAUAGAAUGUAUAUUUGUCCAUAGGCGCAUUCAGUAGAAUACUUAGUAGCUCGUGCGCUCUUAUUUGUAAAUAAUGGAUCUAGGUCAUUCUUUAUUGAAUAAUAUCUUUGGCAGUUUGUCGAAAACUCGCACUUUGAGCAUUUUACUUAAAAAUAUUUUCUAAGUUUCUAAGUCAUUCUUUGUAAGGAAUGGACUUAGGUCAUUAUUUAUAACCUAAAUCAUUCUUUAUAAGAAUGGUCCUAGGUCAUGCUUUAUAAAGAAUAGACUAGGUUUUUCUUUGAUAAAUCACGCUUUUGGCGUUUUGUCAUAUCUUACAUUUAGACACUUUAUUUAGAAUUGUAAGUACCUUGGUUGUUCUUAUAGAUAAUAGGCCUAGAUUAUUUUAUGUAAAAUAUUUUUAUUGGGCCUAUAUUUUUCGUGAGUUUUGGGUCUUUCAUAAUUUGGUCUAACAAUUAUGAUUAGUUAAUGACAUUGUUAUUGAAAAUUUCCUCGACUUUAAGAGUUCCCAAAAAAAAAAACAAAAUAUUGCUAGGGUGGUGGGGAUAUUUUCAGCCUAAAAAUUUAUGUAAACACACUCUAUUUUAAAAAAUUAUUUAUAAAAAUUUCACUUUAUUUUUUAGAAAUUAUAAUAAAGAAAAAGCUUAAAUAAUUAAUCAAUUAAAUCUGUUUUUGUACAUAAGUCUCUUGACCAUUUUUUAUCACUAAGGUUGUGUAAUAUAAUUUUAAUUUGACUAUUUUAUCCUUAUAAUAUAAAAUGACUAAAUUAUCUAAAAUAUGUGCUCUUGUACCUUAAGUUAAAACUAUUAACGAGGAUUUAAUUGUUUAAUUGUUCAAAAUUCUACUUUAUUUGAUAUUUUUAAAAAAUAAUAUGAUCUGUAAUAGUUAUUUAUUUGAAGUGGGAUGGAUUACACAAUGUGUGGGGUGGAGAGAUCCAUUGGUGACGAUAUUUUUUAACAUUAUUAUAACUCCAUAAUAUUUGGAAGAAGGGAAGAAUAUUUCUCUACUUAACAAGCUUUCCAUAUUGAUCAAAUAAGUCCAUGAUUUUUAAGUAGGAAUAGGAAUAACAAUAUUAACCAUGCACAAUGAAAAAUAAUGCCGCAUACCCGGAUCGUUUGCUGUGAAUCUAAUGGCAGCCCAACAUUCUUAGGCACCAUAAUUGUAUUCUGAAGAGGAGGUUCAACAAAAUUAAAUCUCUUAGCAUCCUUAGCUCUAUCAAAAUUACCAAAUCCCCCACCCACCACAUAAAAACUGUAACCAUGCAAAUGCAUUGGAUGAUCAGUCCCUGCCAGCAAAUCUGUCCCCUGAAAAACAAUCUCCACCGCCGUAUUAUACUCAAGUACUUUCACCUCAAUCCGUGGCCUUUCUCGGCACGCUUAAAUUCAGCGGCAGAUUAUCCGCCGUGAAAUCGAAGAAUAGAGGAGGCUUUGCAGGGAAAUUAUCACUGUAUAUGCCGCUAACACGUUUAUAUUAAGCUUUUAAAAUGUCAGUGUAUGGGGCAGCAAAGCUUAUGUUACUAAUACUAGAAGCAAGCACGUGUCUUUGUCACAGGGCAAUGAAUUGACAGAAAUUGUGAAAAAUAAUUUCUUGUUUAACUUUUUGGGCACGUUAUAUUUGUGAUGGUCACUGUCUAGGUGUCUGAGGUAGUGAGGUUUUGUAAGAAAUUAACGGCAGCUUUUGUGUCAUCAUAAGAAGGAAGAUUUGGCAAAGGAGUUUUGGAAGAUGGGUAAAGUCCCUCGUAUUGGACAAUGGCAGUGGUGGUGGUGUUGUCGUCCUAGACGUCGGUGGCGCUGGAAUGAGCCUUGGCUGCCAUGUAAUAUUUGUUUGGAAUUUGGUUAGCUUUUAUCAAGACGUCAAUGAUUUGUCCUGGUGAAAUUGUCAGGUAUUCUACUUAAUGGCUUGGUGUAGCUGCCGUCGACUCCCACAAUUGUGAGCUCAUGUUUUGCGACAGCGAAGGAGAAGGGGUCCUCCAGGCCGGCGUUGAUCAUGCGGAGGAGAUUAUAAGUCUUGCCCAAUUCCAUCAGUGACUUGAAUGUGUCUUUAAGAAAGUUGCAAGUAAUGGUGAAAAAUAUAUAUAAUCAAGUAAAACAAAGUUGUAAUUGGGGAGAAAAAAAAAAUCUGAUGUGUGAAGGCUUAACAUUUUCUAAUUACAUUUUAAAACAUACCAACAUAGGUAAUAGAGAAUCGCCUAAUGUUGAAACUUUGUAAUCAAUCAAAGUUUAUGAAUAAAGAGGAAAAACAAUGCAAUUUGAAGCAAAAGAUAAGAGGAAAAAAAUGAUUAAAAAAAUCCUUGUUAUUGCAGUAAAUUAAUUAGUUUCUAAUUUUCUCCUGUUUCAGAAUCCAUCGAACCCUCAAUGCCAUUAAAAUAAUGCUAAUUUCCAACUUUUAUGUGUUGAAAAGUUGACAAUUUUUUAAUCGGGUGGGAGGUUCUUAAAUAAGUUUCGAAAAUGAGGAAAAUUAACUAAUUUACAAAAACAACAAGGGGAGUUUUGAUCAUUUUCUUCACAAAGACAUUAGGAGGGAUUAAAAAUCCAUACCUAAUUUUGAACUAAGAAAAAGAUCAACGGGUAGCUGUUAAUUGAGAUAAGCAUCUGAAACAUUAGGAUUUGUUCCUGAUUUGAUGAAUUGAUCAUAAAUCUCGAUCACGUCUUUCUUUCAUCACUCAGCCGUGCAUUAUUUUUAAAGAUUAUUGAUUGAAAUUAAUGAAAAUAAUACCCAAGAUGAUGGGCAUUUCAUCAUGAGGCUUGGGAAAAUGAUAAUAAGUUCCCUUCUUAGGAUAAACAACAAUGGCUCCAUGAACCGUUGUUCUUAACCAAUCACUAUGAGCAUGCAACCAAAUGGUUCCUUCUUUUGAAGAAAAUUUGACUUUUUGGCUAAAUUUUUUCUCCAGGUUUAAUAGGACAUUGUGUUAUAUAUUCAGGACCAUCCCCCCAUGGGUUCCUUGGCUGUUUCACUCCGUGCCUAUAAACUAAAUCUUGUAAAUGAAUUUUUUUUAUACUGUUCGAGAUUGUAGGAAUAUAUAAAGUAUUUAUCUAGUGCAGAUAUAUUUUCAUUUUUUAAACAUUUGGACAAAAAUAAGAGAUAAAACAUACCAAGUACAUCUAAAAGAUCCCAAAAGAAAUGCAUGGUAGACGUUUGCACUGGCCAGAUAAAUCAAUAUAUACACAAGAGGAGAGUAGAGAGAGGUAUUUGUGCACCAAUGUGAUGUUAUGUUUUAAUUGGCUUUGUCGUACACAUCAACUAUAAUUGCACCACCCUUGUGGGCGUACAAAGUUGGCUCAGGGAACUGUCCAUUUAGGGUCAUUAUUUUCUUUGUGCGGCAAAGCCUUGUGUAUGGAACAUCCUCAACCCGAAAGGAAUGGGUUCAGGAAUGGGUUAUAUAUAUAUAUAUAUAACCCAUUCCUUUCAGGUUUCGAACUGAGCUUUGUAUUGAUAUUUUUGCAGGAUUAUGAUCGUUAUUGGACAACAAAUAAUUACUUACCUCAAAUUUGUGACAAACCACAGAUGGGCAAUGAAGGAAGUAACUCGUCAAUAACAAAAAUCCCAAUAUAUGGAAACCUGAAAUUUUCAUGAUUGGCAACAUUUUUCAGCAAAUAAAUAACUCAUUUUGUUCAAAUUUGACGCUAUGAAUGCUUAAAUGAGACUAGCUGUUAUCAUAUUAUAGAUGAAGCUUUUAUAAAACGAUAAAAGUUGGGUAAAAUUUUUCUUCAUUUGUCAAUAUCAAACAUAAAGUAAGCACCAAAAUAUAUAACCAACUUCAAAUCCAAAGACGGAUAUUUUGAACUGCCGAAAUUCUGCGCUUGCCAGACGGAAGCUUCAUUUUCUUUAAAAGCAAAGGCCAAGGAAUGAAGAAAAGACUGAUACAAAGUUUUAUUACCGCAUUGGAAUAAUAUGAUGACGUUUAUUGUUAUUUUAUGUGAUUCAAUGAGAGAUAAUAUUGAUUAAAAACUAAAAGACGUGGAUUACACUACUGCUUUAUUGUAGAAUUGAUUGCUCUUAUUUGCGUUUUUGUAAAAAUAAAGCAGAAAAAGAAGAAUCAUAAUAAGAUGGCAAUUGUAACACUCCAGUGUGAGGGAUGUAAGAAUCUCAAGCAUUAUGAGACUUUUGUGGUGGAUCUGAACGAAGCGGAAAAUAUGAUAUAAUGUAAGAGCGGACUGUUAUAGUAAACAGGAGCUUGUUAUUUUAUAUUAUUAUGUAAGUUAUAUAACUUUUUCAUAAUCAUUUAAUGAAAAUCUAACAGUUGUAGAAAUAUAAGAUAAUAAAAUUUUAUUUUUUUCAUAACCGUUAGAUUUUUAUCAAAUGCCUAUAGAAUAAUUAUGUACCUUACAUAAUAAUGUAAGGUGAAUAAAGCCCAAUAAAUAACAUACUUACAUUAAUAAAAUGAAAAUUUUCAUUGUAGUAACAAAAUUGGAAUAUUACGACUUCUCCAACUUUAACCGUCUUAACAAAAUUGGGCCGCCACUUCGGCCUUGGUCGGAGUGGUGGGUUGCUGCCCUCACAAGCAUUGUGAGGGCAGCGGUUCAAGCCCCCACAAAAGUAUUUGUGGGGGCUAAUGUGCUUAUUUGUUUAAUAUUUCAAAAAUUUCCUCUCCCUCGUGCAAUACGAGUGGAGUAUGGAUAUCCCUCUUCUUUAAGGGAUUAUUUGUCUGGGCAUGUACUUCACAGAAUUCAAUGUAAAAAUAUAAGUCCCAAUCAUGUAUUUCUGAUUGUAAAUAUCAGUGUAAUAUAUCUGCUAUAAUAACAGUUGUAAAUAUCUGUGUAAUGCAGUAAUAUGAUGAUUAAUCAGUAUUCAAAAAAAAAAAAACAAAAUUGGGCCAAGUGAACCAAUUAAUUGGCAAGAGGACCGAAUAUAUAUUAUUUUUGCGUGUAAUUUUGGGUUCUUUAUAUUACACGCAAACAACAAACACUGAGAAAUUGUUGGGGAGCACUUUGGGUCCAUAUGUAUCCAAAUCUAGCUAAUAGUUACUUUCCACUAAUCAACUAUUCGAUAAAUGGGCUAGUCUAUUGACACAUAUAAAAGUCAAACACAUAUAUAUAUAUAAAGUUGGAAUUUGAGGAGGUGAUGUGACAUCAUAAUUUCUCAUAUUUAUAUAUUCUCUAUUAUCUAAUAAAUAGAGAAAUUUUCUUUUAGAUUUAGUUUUUCAUCUUCUCACAAUUAAUUUGAUUGUUAUUACACAAUAACAAUUAUGUAAAGGUUUUAAUGAGAUAUAUUCUUUGUAAUGAACAUGAAAGGGAGAGUGUUAUGAAUUUAUUAAAAUAAAUGCAUAUGUUCAUAACAUAUAUCUCUUAGUCUCCCCACUAUCUCUUAUUAGCAACAUUUAGCUUCCCUAUAACUCCCACUAUCUCACAAUGAAUUAUGAUCCAUAAUUUUUUAUUAAUUUCAUAGAGUGAUUAUAACUAUAAAAUGAGAGCUCAUCUUUUUGUUUUGUACACACACAAUUGGAAUGAAUAAAAUCACUCUAUAAUAUAUUCUCUCAUUUUAUUCUUUAUCUUGCGUUGCUUCUUUAUUUGUAUUGCUGGCUAAUAGUUUUUUUUUAUUUUUUAUAAGGUUGCCUCAUCUUAAAAAAAAAUCAAUUCAUAUUUUUUAUCAAUAAAAAAAAUAAUAAUACUAAUUUUUUUUUUCAAAACCGCGUGAAGCGCGGUUUUAUUUUCUAGUGUCUAUAUAUAUUUCAAGCUUUAGAUUAUAUCAAUUAUACAAUGCACAUUUCAACAAGUCUAUUCCGAUUUCUUGUCUCAUGAAUGACAUGUCGGUAGAAAACAAAACGAUAAAUAACGGACCAUCUAAAGUCUAUGUGUCAAUUAAAAUAUUAUUAUUGUUGAUGUGUUAAAAAAAAAUGAAUGCAAAUUCUCUUUCCCCACGACAUUUUCAAUUGGAAAAUGCUUAACAACUUGACCCAACUAAAUGAAUGGAUUUUCUCAUGUUAACAAGGGGUUAUGUCUCUAUUUGGGGUUUCUUUGAAUAUUUUUGUACUUCAAAUUUUAUUUUGUCAGCUGUGACGUUAAAGUUUCCUUAUGGAUGAAACUUCAAAAGUCUCAUGUUUCCAAGGUUCUCCGAAAUUAUUCCUUUCUUAAAUGAUUUGUUGUAAUAAAAUAUUUCUCAAUGUGUAAAGCUGAAAUUGGAAAUUUCCAUCAUCUCACCGCUCGAAAUAUAAAUAUCAUAUCAUUUUAUAGGAAAAAAAAAAUAAUAUAAAUGCUCAAUAUAAUUAAUUGUGAGGCAUGUAUUUAUUUAUUUAAAGAAAUUAUGUUAUUUUCUCAUUGAUAUUUCUUAUAAAAGUUCAUGUGAUGCAUUACCACAACUUUUGAAAUCUAAUUUGUUAAGCCUAACUAAUAGAGAGUUCUUAAGGGUGAAAAUAAUUCCUUUUUUUUUAACUGCGAAGACAGUAGAUUCGUAAGAUGAAUUUGCAAGCUUCAGGAUUUAAUUUACAUAAAUUGCUUCAAAACUAAUAAAUUUAACAAGGAGGCACGUCUGGUGGUGGAGGUAGCAAUCUUUCUUGGGGUGAUUCUCCGUUCUUUACAAUGAAUACCGUCUUCAUUCCCCAUGUAAGGUGCUCCUCUCUAUGGCAGUGCAUAAACCAGACUCCUGUACCAUCAUGAUAAUAUUUAUUAUUAUAACCAUUAUAAUGAUAAAUGUUAAUGAUGAUGAUGAUGAUGGGAACUGUUAAGACUGAAGAGAAAUUGCUUGACCAAAAAUAUAAACUAAUAGGUAAAAAUUCUUAGUAAGUUUCUCAUGUAAAACGUGUCAAUCAAAAAAUUUAGAUAACCUAUUGAGGGGGCCAUGGCCCUGCCAUAGAAAUUUUUUAAUGCUAUAGUAUGAAAAUAUAUUUUCUUGUAAUAAAUUUAAUUCGACUUCAAAUUUGGAAUAUUUUUUUUUUAUAUUUUGGCCACUAUUAUUUAUCAUUUACUGCAAAAUGAUCCUAUGCAUUUCUGAAAAUUUUCAUUCAACGCGUCCUUUCCUAUACUUUAACCUGUAUCAGUUAUUAUUUAUGACACAAUGACCCACAAAUUAAAUAUUACGAUUUCGCCACCGGGAUACAAACACGAGACCUUCAUUCUAAUAUUUUGGUAGAAAAUUUACUUGACCUAAAAGCUUAAGUUAUCAGCAAGGAUCCAAAUGGUAGAGACAAGUCUUAAUAAGAUCGAAGACAAGGAAGAAUCAAAGAUGAUGGUGAUGAGUGACGACAUACAUACAUAUAAUGAUGUUGAAGAAUAGUGCUGCUUACCAGGAUUGCUUGCCCUGAAUCUGACUGUAGCCCAGCCACUAAUAGGCACAUCCACUAUGGUCCGGAGAGGAGGAUCAAUAAGAUUAUAAUUUAAUGGGUCUUUUUCUUCGUCAAAAUUUCCGAACCCAAAUCCAACAACAAAAAAACUGUAUCCAUGCAAAUGUAUUGGAUGACUUGUCCCAGCAACCAAGUUUGUCCCUUGGAAAUUUAUCUCCACAGCUGAAUCAUAAUCCAAUACUUUCACUUCUGUCCCUUGUUUCGGAAUCUGUAAGAUCAUGGGCAAAUCAUCUGCUGUGAAGUUAAACAAAUAUGGCGGAAAGUCUGGAAAAUUCUCUCCAUAAACCCCAUUGAUGCGUUCGUAGUAAGCCUCAAGUAUAGCAAUUGAUGAUGGCUCAACAAAACUUUGGUUGUUCAAGCUAGCAGCAAGUCGAGUUCCAUUCGGCCCUUCACACGAAUUGUUAUCAUUUUCACAAGGCAAUGUGUUUAACGAAACAGUUGAAAAUAUCGAACUGGUAAUGUCUAACGGGACAUCUAUGGGAUGAUCUUCAUUUGCCAAGCUCCGAAGGCUACCGAUAAAUUGGAAGGCCGAAUUUGUGUCAUUCCUAGAAGGAAGAUAAGGUAAAGGAGGAGAUGAAAUUGGAGUGUAAUUUCCAUUGUAUUGUAAUACAGCCGUGGCCGUCGUGUUGUUGAUGAAAUCAAGAUUGACUACAGUGGAAUAAACACUUGAAGCCAUGUAGUAGAGAUUAGGGUUCUGGUUGGCUUGUAACAACACAUCUAGGGUUUGUCCUGGUGAUAUUGUAAUGUAACUGGUUGUUAAUGGAUUAGUGUAAGCACCGUCGGUUCCCACGACUGUGAGAUCGUGAUUUGCAAUGGAGAAGAAAAGCAUUUCGUCCAUUGCAGCAUUAAUUAUGCGGAGAAGAUAAGUUUUGCCUUCAUCCACUGUUAGCGUGAAUGUCUCUGCAAUAUAGAAUAUUAUUAAUUAGUUGUUAGAAGAAUUAUAAAAGCAUUAUUAAUUAGGAUACAUUUUUGGUAAAUUUUCUUCUUCUUUUUUUAUUCCUCUAAUUCAUGUACCGAAAAUCCGAAAUGACUCGGGCGUAUCCAACAUUAUUUUACUUUUAAAAAAAAAUUAAUUAAACCCGAUUACGUGUUAAUUGCAUAUAUACCUGAACUCGAGCAUGGGUAUAAAUCACCAGGUUGACCAUUUAUAGUAAAAGCGUCUGAUGUUGCUGGCAGUCCCCCGGUUCUAAGUAGUUCAUUUCGAACUUCCGUCACAUCUUGCUUCCACCACUCUCCUACAUUUUUUUUUGUUGCCAUAAUGUUUUUAACACUAACUAGAUCAUUAAUUUACGUUCAUUAAGAUUUUUGAUAGUAUUUAUGUGAAAUAAAUUUAGUAAAAUAAACUACCCAAAAUGAUUGGAACUUCGGCAUUGGGUUCAGGAAAAGGAUAGCCAGCAGUUCCAGGCCUCGGCUGUAUAAUGAUAGCUCCAUGUACUGUGGCACGUGACCAGUCACUGUGAGCAUGCCACCAAAGAGUUCCUUCCUCUUCCGAAAAAAUUAUCUUCUGCCUGAAGCUUGCUCCAGGUUUGAUUGGGCACUGUGUUAUGUAUGCAGGACCAUCGGACCACGGAUACCUAGGCUGUCUCACUCCGUGCCUGGACGUGAAAUCAACCCUAGUCUGUUAAGUUUACAAUCGAGCUAAAAGCUUAAGCUCAAAGGUAAAAGCUCAGUAUUUCAUUGGUGAUACAGAAACAUCCUCUUUUUUUUUUUUUUCCUUUUUAUAAUACACUUAAGUGAAAUAAAAGAGCUAGCUGUACAUAUUUACCAGUGAAUGGUGAUAUUUUCUUUGCCUUCAUUAGAAACCUCGACGAAGAUUGUAUCGCCUGUAAAAACCCUAAUAGUUGGUCCAGGGAAUUGUCCAUUUACGGUCAAGAUAUUCUUUGUGCUGCAUAGCCUUGUAUAUGAAGCCUCCUUUACCUACACAAAAAAUUAAUUAUGCAGUAGUAUAUCCUUAUGCGAAGAAAAAGAAGAAAAAUAUUUAUCGAUAUUCACAUUUCUUAGUUUAUGCGAUUCAAUUUUUUUUUUUUUUUAACAUGCCACUUAAACAUAACCCAAAAAUAAUUAAAAAAUCAGAAUGUUAAAAGUAAUAAAAAUAAAGGUUACAAUAUCGUUAUUAAAAUGGGAAGAAAUGGUCAAUAGCCAAUCGAAUACGAUAUUGCAUAGAUUCCCCGUCCCUCAGGUAUGCAUGAAGCUAGCUAGAGACUGAUCGCUAGAGCAGCGCCUCACAAAAAUGUUUAUUUUUAAUUCGGAUAAUUUAUAUUUUCAAUCCAAAUUAUAGAUUUUUUUAUUCUCUAGCCCAGCGAACUUUAAGAGUUUUACGUCUUGCCCCAGAAAUACAUACUUUUUAAAUUUUCAGUAUUCGGCCUAAUGCCUGCCUAUAGACCUUUAAUUACCCAUGAGAGUGUGUGACAUUUGGACCCCCAGAUGGAAAGAAACAAAGCCUAUAGAGGCCAAGUCUAAGAACUACAUAUUAAACUCGGGACCAUAAUAGUAAUAAAAAAAGGAAAAUAAACCUUAAUUAGCAUGAGCCAGAGAAUAAAAACCUAUCUCGAGGCAAAAAUGUGAAUAGUUAUUUCUAUCUCUCAAUUGAUUUUGAGUUUUUUUUUUUUGGAAAAGGGGCCGUGGCUGCUUAGGACAUAGCCGGGCUCCAUCCUGGAUGCAUAAAGCUAAAAAUAUAGUAAAGAAGCUCUUGAAAGCAAAAAUAAUUAUAAACAAAGGAAAUAUCUUUAAAAUGUGCAACUAGGAAAUCUAUGGCAUCUCACAGCAUAUGUAAUUUUGUAAAUCAUGAAUUGCCUCUCUGUGAUAGAAAGAGAAAGUACAGUACUACUCACCACGAAAAGAUGAUCAUUUGAAGCCGAGCGGAGGCUAAACAAGAGCUGAAAGCAGAAUAUUUUUAAGCAGAAGGUUCCAUUGCGAAGACGCAGCAUCUUCCGAAUUUUGAUAAUAAGAAUACUUUGCUUCUUCAAUUGACCAAAUGAAAUUUUUUUUUUGGUUCUUAUACAAGUUAGUGAUGAGCAAGAGAGUCAUUUGCUCACGUUAUUAUGAUACUGAUUGCUUAAGGACAGCCGAAAGAACUAAGACAUUCCAAAUAUGUAUAUUGCCCCAAAAAUGCUGAUUGGGACUCAAUUUCUACAAUAAUAUUUUUCAUAAUUGCAUGAUAUUUUCGUUAGCCAAUUGAUAACUUAAAACAAAAAUGACCACUAAUUAAGCUUUAGCAUUUCUUUCAUUUUUGGUUAUUAGCACCCACUCUAAUGUUUUUACCAUGUUUUAUUAUUGUUGUAUCAUUUUUUUCUGUCUUAAAGAAAAAAAAAUAGUGAUAUGCAUACUAAUUAUUUCUGAACUGGCUUGGUCAUAUUAGUUUAAAAUUAUGUCAAAAACAUUCAAUAGGGUGAUUAUAUUUAUAGAUAGAGGGAAUAACCUAUAAUUUUAAGAACAAAAUUUUGGAACGAAAGUUUUAAUUAUGCCAAAAUUUCCAUGACGAAUUCUUUAGUAAAUGUCGAGCCAUUAUCUUGCUGUGAAGUAAAAAAAUAAUAUCUAAAUAUAAUAUAGGGAGAUUAUCAUUUUUUUCCAUAUUAAAAUUAAUAUAUAUCACUUAUCCUUUUACCCCCUAACACAAAAAAUUUAAAGAAAAAGAUGGGUAAAUGGGCCAUUUCUAAUAAUAUUCUUAUUUUCAAAUACAUUUUUAUUUUUAUUUAUUAUAAAUUAAAUAAAUAGAAAUUAAAAUAAAAAAAUUUGAAGUAUUAAAAAUAAAAAUAUAUAUUUGGAUGUGAAAAAAAUUAAUAAUAAGAUAUUAUAAAAAUGCCCAUUGAUCCCCCUUCUUCUUUAAAAUAUUUGUGUUAGAGUAGUUUUUGGAUAUUAUAAAAAUAGUAGGGGAAUAAGCGGUAUAUUGAUCUCAGUAGAGAAUAAACUGACAAUCUACCUAUAAUUUAAGUAGUAAAUUAAUUUAUUCUAAAGUCCAUUUUUGAUAACCCAGUGCGUGUGUAGUUCGAAUGUGAUGCUCAAAAACUAAUUGAUAGAUCGAUAUAGCAAGCGAUACACACAGAACAAAUCAAUGAUGGCCCAUUAAAUCUAGGAUAUACAUAAUUACUUGUUCAAAAUAAAUUAAAAAUUGUGAGAAACUACAUCAUUGCAUUCAUACAAGUUUUUUUUUUAAUUACAUUUAAUAAGAAUUAAAAUAAUCUUUGUCCCCUCCUAAAUCGUUUGUGUAAUAAUUUUGUGCUUUUAGGAAUCAUUUCGAAACAAAGAAAAUCUAUAUUUGUCUUAGAGGCCUUUUUAUCAGAAUAUUUUAGUCAAAUUAAGUUUGACUUUGGCUGCAAUGACACAUUUUUUGCUGAAGAGAGGUCCUGCUAUUUUUCAACACCCCUAGUUUUACAGGUGAGCUUUACAGCUAAUUAAAAAGUGGUAGCAGGUAUUAACAAAGAAGAAAACGACUCAAAUCUUAUGAUAGGUUUAUCUAUCCCUUUCUUGGAAUAAUAUUCCAAAAUAAUUUUACUUUUUUUAAAACACCCAUAAAAGUGAAAUUAAAUUGCUUAGUUAACAAAGGUUUAACUAGUAAGUAUAUGUAACUAAGUUAUUUCUUUUCUAGUUGGCUUCAGAGAUUAAGAAAUGAUUUUCGUCUGUUGCAUCGGACUUUCUGGCAUCGCUGCAACUACAGCAUUUAUUACAUUGACAAUUGGAUGUUAGUGAAUUCAGAUAUGGGAAACAAUAGCGUAUGAUUAGUUAUCAAUCACUAACUUUGAGCAAAAAGUUGUCGAUCGAUCGUUGUUUUGUUUUAUUCAUUUGCUUUUUAAUGGACAGUAUAAAUUCUUUUCCGAUGAACAAAUAUAGCCAACGUAGUUGAAGAUAAGAGAAUCGUACCCGUUUUUGAAUAACGACAUUGUAGAAAUAUUGAAUGAAGUUGGUUGAAUUUCAACCCUCCAAUUUAUUAGACUUUAUGGUUUACGUAGCUUACAAAAGCAAAUAAUCCAAUAGUGUCCGAAAAGAAUGUAACGUAUGCAAACCAUAUCCUCUAUUACUUAGGAUGCCAGUGAGACGGAAAGGAAUAAUUUGGAAAAAAGAGUGAAUGACAUGAAUAUAAAAUAAAACAAAAUUCUCUCAUUUUUCUUCUUUUUUAAGAGACGUACUUAAUUUUUUUUUUUUUGUUUGGUUAAGCUUUUUCUCUCUCACUUUUUCUUUGUGCUUUCAAUCGUAGUAUAAAUUUUUAUUUAUUUAUUUAUUUUCUUAACACUAAAAAAGUUAAAUAAUUAUGUCUAAAUAAAAUUAACAAAUGGAUACAUGUCAUGAUUGAUUGAAUAUCAAAGAAGUGUCCAACAAAAUUGACACCGCUGUCAGCAUUUCCACUUCAAGCACAUCUGGCACCCACGUCUCUAUUGAAGUUUUUUUUUUUUUUAAUACUGAUUAAUCAUCAUAUUACUGCAUUACACAGAUAUUUACAACUGCUAUUAUAGCAGAUAUAUUACACUGAUAUUUACAAUCAGAAAUACAUGAUUGUAACUUAUAUUAUUACAUUGAAUUCUGUGAAGUACAUGCCCAGACAAAUAAUCCCUUACAGAAGAGGGAUGUCCAUACUCCACUCGUAUUGCACGAGGGAGAGGAAAUUUUUUGAAAUAUUAAACAAAUAAGCACGUUAGCCCCCACAAAUGCUUUUGUGGGGGCUUGAACCGCUGCCCUCACAAGCAUUGUGAGGGCAGCAGCCUACCACUCCGACCAAGGCCGAAGUGGCCUAUUGAAGUUAAAUAAUAUGGAAGAAGAUCAUUAAUUAUUGAAAACCUAAGUAGAGAAGUUUGUAAUCUUAUUCUCAUACGCAUGCAAUCAAAUUCUCAGUUUCCACUAUAAAUAAAGAUUUGGAACUGUUUUAGAUCUCAAAAUAGCACGCAGUUAAUACGAAGACUUUUGCUGAGUAAAGCCCCAAAUGCAUAGGCUAGCUGUUAUACAUUUGUACACAAGUAAGUUCAAAACAACAGUUUUACACCGCUGAGAUGAAUGUAACAGUUAUGCAUAUCCGAUCGAUGUAAACCUACGAACAGAAAGUAUGUUUAAUCUACAACCUCUUAUGCAAGGAUUGAAACUCUAACAUCAUGCGUGAUUUAAACACUUUGGGACAUUCAAUGAUCGAAUGAGCAAAGCUAAGUUUUCUGUAUCUUCAGCUGCGAGGAUUAUUAAACAAUCGAAAGCUUGACUAAAGAUAUAUAAUUAAGCAAGAGAAGAAUAAAUGUAAUAGCUAGCAUGUGCCUCCCGGUUUGAGCGGGAACUUCUAAUUUGGGUUGUGGUAUGAGCUUAAAGGUGUCUCCCAUAAUUGGGACCCUUCCCAAGAUACCUCGUGGUUAAGACCAAAAAAAAAAAAAAAAAAAGUCUCCAUACGCUUCAGAACUUGAAACGCGUCAAAUGACACCAAAACGAGUGAGUUUGACUGCCGUUUUGGGAGGAGACGAGAGUUUCCUUUAGUUGUGUUUCUAUUCAUUUUCUUUUAUUCUUUUUAUUAUUAUUAUUAUUAUUUUACUUUUUUAAAUUUGGAAAACUGUUGGAUUGGAACCGAGCAGUAUAAAAACCAAUUGGUUUCAAUUGACAAACUCGAGCCAACUUGAAAAAAAAAAGUAAAUUUUGAGUUACUCCCUCGUAAAUUAUUAAUAAUUUUUAAAUUGUCUCUUUAUUUUUAAAAAUAUUAAAUUAUCUGCUAAAAAUAGUUAAUUUUAACGAUUGACCGUCAUUAACCUUAUUAAAUAUGAAAAUAUAUUUUUUAACAGCCUCGUUAACUAACGGUUUUAAUAUUAAAAAAUACUAUUAAAUUGAUAAAAUAAUAAAAAUUACAGACCUUAAGAUCCAAAAAAAAAAAUCUAUCUCUUCUCAAUUUCAUCUUCACUAAAUCAAAAUCACAUUAAACCUAAUUAAGAUACCCAUAAUAUUGGUUGGCAUGGCUACAUGUGGCAAAGGAUUUGGUUGCCUUGACCGCGUGCAGCCAUGGCUUGGUUUCCAUGGUCGCAGGCCACCAGGGAUUUGACUGCCUUGGUUGCACGUGGCCAUGGGUUUGGUUUCCAUGGCAGCGCAUGACCAAGGGUUUGGUAUCCAUUGGGGUAAAAUGAAAAUUUGUUAAAGCGUUUGGGGCUUACUAUAAAUAUUUAAAAAAAUUGUGUGUGUUUUAAAAUGUUAGAAAGAUUUUGGCUAUAAAAAUUUGCCUACAUAGCAGCUUGGUCUUUUUCCUCUUAAUUGACUGUUAGGAAAAUGUAUAAAUUUAUUUUACCCUUUUGAUAGUUAAAAAUAAUAGAGAUAACAAUUUUUGAGAGUAUAUUUUCAAGAGUAAGGAAAGUAAUUUAAAUAUUGUUAAUUCACGUAAGGGUAAUCCAAUAUUAACCCGAAAAAUAAACACCUCAUUUAGUUCAGGAUUGUCAAUCGUGGGACCUAGGUAUCAAAAGUUAUAUAGUCUGUAACUUGAACAUAUUUAAGAGUAAUACGUGGGACUUAAAAGCAAUUUUUUUUAAAUACUUUUUACUUUUUCUUGGUAAAAUAAAUCUAGGAGAACUUUUCGGAAUCUCUGUACAAACAAACUUGUAGGUUCGGGGAAAAAAAAAACUAUUAGUAAUCCAAAAAAGAAAACAAAGAAAAUACCGAGUCGGCCCAUAAAGGAUAAAGUGCUGGUCAAAAUGGUAACUCCAUACGAGAACGGGACUUGAACCCCUGAUCUCUGAACAGGACUUGAACUCCUGACCUCUCUUAAAGAAUGAGAGUGUCAAACCACUCACACCAACCAACUUUGAUUACUAUUUAUCUAAUUUCUUAAUUAUACAUAUUUAUACAGUUAAAUUCUUCGUUGUGUUACAUUUCUUAGUUCUAUUUCAACCCAAUAGGCUAAUACAUGAAAUAAAAUGUGGAGAAAUGUAACAGAAUACACAAGAAAAAUAAAAACAAAUGGGCGAGAUGUCAUGUUCUCCACCGAAUAUCAUAAUGAAUAGUUUUGUUUCAAAUUUGCAAUAACCUCAGCUCUCAAGGACUUCUUAUAAAUGUUGUUAUAUACACCUACCUUCAGGUACAUUCCAUGCAUAUUAUUAUGUAUACGAUUCCUCUAGAGUCUAGAUUGUUAAAUACUAACUAAGCAACAAAUUAUAUCUGUGGGAACCAUACCCAUUAAUAAUAUGGUUCCUUGAAAUACAGCGCAUAAAUAAUGCAACAAAAAGUAAAAAUAAUAACAACAACAUCAAAGGUGAGAGCUGUCAUGGCUUGGUCACUCAGCUCCAUAUUUCUUCCUCCUAAUCGAUCCACCAUGUCCGGAAUUGAUCCGUAGUUCUUCAAUGCUUGAUCAUAAGGAUCUUCAAAUUUCAUUUUUAGCUUCUCAGCUUUUCGGCUUGCAGCUUCUUGAGCAAGUGUCCAGUCAUAAAACCUUCUGCUUUCUUCAUUGCUUAAUACAUCGUAAACUUCCCUUAGCUUUAGGAACUUCUCAGAAGCAGCUUUUAGAGGGAGUGAUGUUGUGUCUGGGUGGUACUCUUUUGAUAAUCUUCUGUAAGCUGAUUUUAUCUCUUCCAAAUCCGCGCUUGGUGAUAUUCCUAAGAACCUGAAUUUUAUAUAUUGACUAUUAAUCGAUACUAGCCAGCUACUUGAGUUCUGAACAUUGAGGCUAACAAUAAUUUUCAAAGAGAACUUAUUACAUUUCGAAUUAACUACAUCUUACAGUUUUUUUUUUACAUUUCGAAUUAACUACAUCUUACAGGAACAUUGAGGCUAACAAUAAUUUUCAAAGAGAACUUAUUACAUUUCGAAUUAACUACAUCUUACAGUUUUUUUUUUUUUAAAUUUAUUCGGCCUGUUUUGUAAGAAAUCUAUUGUGAAAUUGUGUAAAUCAUCAUAUACUUACUAGUUAUAACUAAGAUUGAAUCCUUAAUAAUUUUAAGCUAUUAAGUUGAGAAGUUUCCCUAUCUCAAAUAGAGUAAAUAGCACAUGUACAAAGUUUAUUUCAAAUAUAUAUAUGUACAAUUAUAAAUUUGUAGAAUUUGUGAAUAAAUCACCAACUAUUGGAUGAGCAAUAUCUAUUGAAAAAGUGAAACAAGAAAUGGAAUAAAAAAUAAUAAUAAUAAAACAAACUUACUGGUAAUGAGAAUCAGAGGAGUUGUUUAAAAGAUCAGCGAACUUCUCACCCAAGAGAUUCUUCUGCUCUUCUUCAGCAUUAAAAUUCUGGUUUGUUUGGUGUGACGAUGAUGAGCUUCCACCAAUCCACCCUUCAUCUUCGUUUUCCCAAUGAAUCCUUGUAUCAACUCCCGGCUGCGCUCUUCGUUGGCUCUUGUUACUGCCAGCCUUUUGCGACGCAAACACACGCAGAAUUUUGCUUCUUGUCCUUGCUGUUGCCGCUCUGGGCUCCUUUGUCAGCUGCUGCAGGCUGCCGUGUUGGGUUUUGAGAAACAGAGAAUAUGGAGAUUGCGGAGAUACUGUGGAAGCCAUGAACAUGAAUGAGAGGGAAAAGAGAAUUGGUGCCGGCUUCCAUUUUCAAGAUGAGAAGAAAAUUUGUUUUUUUCAGGGCCUCAUGUUUCUGUGUGGCCCAGAAAUUCCGAGGACUUUUCUCUCACAAAUCUUUUGUUUUUAAAUUUUAACUGUGACCUCAUGCCACAUUCACAAAAUUAACAAUUUUGGAGGUUUUAGCAAUUUUCCUCAGAUUGUGUGAUAUAUAAUUUAAAAUGUAAAAUCCAUAAACUCUCUGAAAACCCCCUUGAUAAUUGAUUAAUAAUGACGGUGGCCGGUGGGGACUUGAGUGAAAUAAACAGAAAGCUAGGUGGGACCGUAGUCAUAGUUGCAAAUAAAGUAGGGACCUAUACGUUUUCAUCCUUCCUUUUUUUUUUUUUUUCCAUGAAAUAUCGAAAAUAAUCUAAAUUCAAAAUUACAUUGAGAAAUUGGAAGAAAUCUAAAAACAGGUCCGCUAUCAGCUUGUCUAUUUUGAUGAGUUCUCCAUCUUUCUCUGCCGUGAUAAUUAUAAAAUAUUAUCUUUUACUUUGUUGCAGCCAUAAAUGAUAAAUUUUAGACUUCCCAUCGCUGUUUUGCAGUUGUUCCAUGUUCGCAGAGCAAUAGAGUUUGGGAAUUUUAGUGAUUAUUUGCGUAUGUGAUCAUAAGUCUCGGGCUACUAAUCUUCACAGUUAAAAGCACAAUACAAUUAAUUCUGAAGAUUUUUAAUUCCUAUAUAUAGUCUUUUAAUAUUGUCAUAAGAUUAACGUAGAUUUUUUAAAACUGUAAUCACCAUGGAGUAUAUUAUUGGGCAUGUUCUGAGGGGGGAAAAAAGUGUAACUACAUUUUAUUAAAAUAAGGUUUUUGAAUCUUUCAAGUUCUAUCUUUUAAAUAGUAAUGGAACGAGGGUAGCGGAAUCGAAAUUGAUAAAAUAGAAAACACUAGAUAUUAGUACUAGACUAAGUCAAUGCAAUUAAGUUAUAUUCUAAUUGAAGCGUGAUUAGAUCUCAUUCUAAUUAAACGACUCAAUGAGAUUUUUCAAUAACGAGUAAAAUGAGAUUAGAUGAUGCUCUAAUCCAAACGACUCUACAAGAGUGGUUUCGAUAGAUAAUCCUAGAGGGAAUUAUAAAAAAAGAAAUUUUAUUGAAUAACUGAAUUUGAAGUUAUAACAAUGAGACCUCUCUAUUUAUAAUAAAAAUAAAUUACAAUUAUAAUGAAAAUAAAACAUUAAAUCACAUACCAUAAUCAAUUCUAAUUAAAAUAUAAAAUAAAAUUCUAGAAUCAUAAGAUACUUAAAAUAACAUCUUACAUAAAAUGGUUUGCCAAUUGCCAAGAAUAAAAAACAUAAAAUGGACAAAAUUAUUUCACUCUUUUCAUUUCUCAAAUGGCUUAAAAGGCAAAUUAUAUAAGAAAUGCACAAAACAAAAAUAAUCUAACAUCUUCUAAAUUGCAAUGAUUAUUUUUUAUUUUUUAAUUUCACGUAUAUGCAUAUGAUAACAACAGUGAUUUUUGCUAUUUUUAUAUACAUGCAUGUCAAACAAUGGUCUGGAUCAUAUAUUUCGGCAAAGGUAUCUUUUCCCUUUGAGUGGAAAGUAUUUUAAGACUUUAUCAUGUAACAUGCUUACGGUGCUUAAUUACAUGAUUCACAAGGAACGGGAGAGUAUUAAUAAACUGGAACAACCAAAUUUGUUUAAUGGAGUCGAAUGGAACGGCAUAUAUGUCAUACUUACGAAAAGACGUUAGUCUAGAACCUGAGUAUGUCUGAUGGAAUUGAAUGAGACCAUUUGCAAAUUAAUUAACUCUAAAUUUUAGGCCAUUUCAAUAAAUUUAUGUGUCCAGUUUCAGAAAUCAGAAUACUUGCUGAGAAGAUAGGACUCUUGUCUGGCUAAAUUGAGAGCAAAGGCAUGAUGAUGGCACAGAUUGAAAGCAAUUCAUUGCCACGGACACCUACCCAAUUCCCAAACAUGAUGACAAUACCAAUGACUUCAUAUUAGCUUCAUUUGUCUCUGUCUUCUAUCUUUUGGCCCCAUAUUCUCAAAUUUUAGACCAUGCAUGCUCCGAAAUUAUGGCCUGUCUCCAUCUAAUGACAGUGAUUUCAUCUAUUUUUAAAUUUUUAUUCUUUUCACAAGAACAAGUUGAACGAAAUGAAGGUAGAGAGACACAACUCACGAUUUACGAUGACUUAAUUCAAAUUGUAAUUUGAAUUUGGAUUCAAAAUCUAAGAGACUUGGAACUAAAAAGCAACGACAUUUCAAUGUUGAUUUCAAAACAUAAGGUAAUAAACUCGUAAUUAAUCCAAUUUAUUAGACUUCAAACUAAAACUAUGUGCUUAAUUAAAAAUAUCUGUCAACUUAUAAUUUGAUUAUGAUUCGAAAUCUAAACAAAAAGAUUUGCAAAAUAAGUUGUUAACUAGUAAACUAGGAUUAUAUCUGAACAUCAUAACAUCAGUGCCACGCAUCCGAUUCAACCACUCUGCUAAACUAAGAUUACAAUUUAUGUUCGAAAAAAGAAAAACUAAGAUUACAAUCUAAACGCAACAAAGAGAAAAUAUAAACUCAUUAUGAACAAUAUGACAAAGUGGGUAAUUUUUUAGUUGCCCUAGCUUCAGUUUUACCCCAUUACAAAAGAAAUUGAAAAAAAAAAAAAAAACAGAACAGCAAUUCAUAGCAUCGUUACAUUACAAGAUUUAACAGUCUGUUACGCCGCAGCCGGAGGAGCCGCCUCCGUCGGAGACUGAGAAGCAGAUUCAUCCUUACGACGGUGAGAUGCAUUCUUGUUAUUAUGCAUCCAAACUUUAAGCACGUGUCUUUUAACACCCACUUCAUUACAAAACUGGUUGAGUGCCACGUCAUCCUGCCUUUGCAUUCGCCACCCUAUUCUCUCGGCAAACUCAAGCAUCUUAUCCUUUUGCUCUUGCGUGAACUUAGUCCUCUGCCUCUUGCUCUUCCCCGUCGCCGGACCCACAGUUCCCGGAGGACACACAUUCAGAUUUACCUCCUCCCUCUCGGGGGUCUCCGACCGUCUAUCAUAUUCGUCAUAACGAUCAACGGCUCCCACUAGCUUGGUAGGGUCCUUGAAUAGCAACAAACGCUUUGGCUGCAGGAGCAGCUGGCCCCGGACUUCUCUUCUGUGGAAGUUACGGUGACAGCCGCAUGCAGCGCACGUGAGGGAGUCAUCAGCACGUGGCAUGAACUCGCAGCAGCCGUCGUUGGCGUGGCCGCCGAUGGAGGCUGCGUGGUUCUUCAUGCACUCUUUGUAGUUGAUUAUGUUUGGUUCUUGUUGUGGAUGCGGAUGUUGGUGUUUGUAAGGAACCAAACUGAGAUCCAUUAUUCAAAGUAAUUGAUAUCCUUGUUUGAUUUGUUUAAUGAAGGGGGAUUACAAGGUAUAGUAACUGUAUUUAUGUGAAGUGGAAGGAUAGAGGAGAGAUGGAGAUGAAACAAGCAAAAGUGAGAGAAAGAGCAAGAAUUAAUGUUUGUUUUGUUGUAUAGUAAAUAUUAAUCCUUAUUGUGGGAGGAGCGUGACGUGUAUUUAAGAAAGGACACGAGAGAGAGCAGUGCUAUUUCCCUCCCCCCCCAAUUUGAUUAGAUUAUGAAUUCACGUAUUUAGAACACACCCCAAAGUUAUACCAGUCAGAACAACAAAAUUUGUCAUAGUUAGACGAUAUAUAUAUAUAUAUAUAUAUAUAAAAGCUAAAAAAAUUAAAUAAAUUAACAGUGUGUACUUCUCCUAACUUUCACUUUAGUAAAUAUGAACGUGAUAAAUUGUUUCAUGAAAUUUGUUUUCCAAAAUAAAAAAUUAUUAUCCAAAUCUUAGUAUACAAUGAGUUGAAGAUGGGAAAAAGUUUGGACUAGUGGUUAUCAUCUCUCUAAUCUCUUCUUCAAAUUUCUGGGAAUGUAUUUAAGUUCCACUAGUUUGAUGUAGAGUUUGAUUUCUUUGUAAUUUAUUUGGAGCAUAUUAUUCCUCUUAUGAGAACCAAGUUUUGCAUGCCCUCAUCGCCACUUCAACAAUCAAUACUUAUCUCGCGGUCGUGCUUAGGAAAACUGUUCCUAAAAGGUUUUUAAUAGUAAUAAAUUAGAUUUCUAUUAUUCUUUAUUCUUUCUUUAAAAAAAAAAAAAAGGAGUUACGUACUGAUGCAUACACCAAUCUAUUGAGAACUUAAUGUUAAAAUGUUUAUAAGACCGCAUGCACUCCAAAAGUUGACUUGUUCUUGUAGUUAUAAGUUACUCAUUUCAAUUGUAAUUUUCCAAUGUUUCAAAUCUAGAGGUUCAGUUAUAAAUUAAUUUAAGGUGUGAAGUUGCAAGCUUGAUAAGUGACUCGCAAUACAAAUGAGUAUAAGUCCAACCUUAUAUUCUUUAUUGCAAGUGGAACAUGUCCAGUUGUAAGGGACGGACACUGCAUAUUUUAAUGGGUGACUUAUGUUACAUCAAUAAUAUUUUUUUUUUAUUCUUUCAAAAAAAAUAAUAUUUUUUUUUAAUAAACCUCAAGAAAGGUAUAAUUUAUUAAAUGAAAAAAAGAUACAAAGUUCAUUUAAAUGAGACAAAGACAAAAAAAAAAAUCUAAUAAAGAAAAUACUAAACCAUAAUGGGGUUAAGAAAAUCGGUGCGUAAGUAUCCUCUGGGAAUCAUCAAGUAUAGGCUUUUUAAUUUCUAAUGAGGGAAAAUCUCACCAUUUGAAAUCGAAGAAAUCGAAACUGAUGUUGGUUAAAGUGUCAGCGGCAUCAUUCUCUGUAGAUAUGGGGACAAUGAAAUCGCAUACACUUUAUCAUAGUUAGGCAAUUGAGCCAUCAAGUGCGAGCUGUCAAGGAGAAGAUAAGAUGUCACUUUUUAGUGAAGAAUAAGCAGUCAUUGAAUCACAUUCCAACCACAAUGAAUGCUAGCCCUUAUGGUAAGCAAAUUCGAUAGCACAAAUAAUAGCAUAAAGUUUUGCAUAAAAUGAAGUUUGAUUCCCAAUUGACAUAGUGAAGUAGCCCAGAAAAGUUCAAUGAGGACCUCAAUAAAUAGCGCUACAAGAAGCUGGACCUGGAUUUCCUUUAGAUAGAUCGUCAAUAUUAACUUUGACCCAAGAAAAUAUGAGAGGAUGCCAUAAAAUUGUAGAGAUCUUUGGAGGGAUGCGGAGAGGAUUGUUUAAGUUAAGUAGGUUAUAAAUAGGAAAAGAGUCGGGAAGACCUACAAAGCCUAAGCAUAGCUUACUCAAGUGAGAGAUAUAUUUCAAACAUUGAUGCUUAAUACGUGCAAUUGAAGGAUGAAUAUUUUCAAAUUUUAGUUUAACACAUCAAUAACAUGAAUUUUGUUUGAUGUUGUAUAAUUAGUCAUAAUUUUAAUUCACUUUAUUAAUUAUUGAAUAUAGAGUCUUUCUUUUCUAGUAGGCAUUCAAAUUCAAAUUGUCAGCUAAGGGUAUAAAUAAAUUGAUAGAGUCUCAUGAUUGAACCAGUGGCGAUUUCAGAUAGUUGAUGGAGAUAUCAAAAUCCAUAUAUUUCUACUCAAAUUUAAUGGACAAUGAAACUCUAAAAACUUAGUGUAUGCGUGUAUAGUGAGUAAUGUUGCAUUUACCACUAUCAUUCAAAAGGUGUUCUGAUUUCUUAGUAAUUUGAUUAUCAAUUUGUCAUGAUAGGUAUUGUGUUUAUAACAUGUUUUUUAUUUUCUUAAACAAAUGUAGUUAGUUAAUAAAUCAUAUAUCACGUAAUUAACACAAUUCGGAUACAUCGAUUGAAUAACAUCUCGAACAAUGGUUCUGAUAAUAUUUUUAAAAUAAAUGAUGUUUGUUUGGGUUCAAAUCAAAAAACGUAUGUAUUAUAUUACCAAUCAUUAAAAAAAUAAAAAUAAAAAUUUUAAUUUGAAUACCAUGCAAUAUCAAUGCUCUAUAAAUGAAAUCCAAACAACUUGUUAAAAUUUUUUCGUAGAUGUGAAAAUUGAAAUUAUUUCACCCAAUCUUUCGUAUGCCAAAAAAUUUAUAUAUAUAUAUAUAUAUAGAUUCAAUUUCCGUUGGGGACAAUGCAACAACCAGCGGCUCUUUCAAGUUUCCGACCCUCAGCAAUCAGCGCAUGAGUUGCAAAUUCCAAAAAAGAACCAGUCCGUAGGACCCACAAGAGAGAAUGUGUCGAUAACCCGCUGGAAUGCUAAUCACUGUACUCUAACCCCAUCUUGUGAGAGGUCGAUAUCUCAUUCCCAGGGACGGGGGACCCACCCACGUGGAUUCAGAGACAACGGUCAGAGGAUCGGACGGCUCAGAAAUCCUGACUACCUGAUCUUCAGGAGUAUGGGCAAAUAUCUGCAUCAGCUGCUGCUGAUAGGCUGGAUCUGGAUUUGAUUGAUUGAUUGGCUUCGGGCUUCCUCCUCUUUUUUUUUUUUUUUAUAACACGUCACGCUUCUAACGCCAUGCUAUGUGGGUCCCGCAGUACGAUUAAAUUUUUUUUAAAAAGCUCCAUCAGAUUCAGGCCGAUCACAACCGUCCAUUAGGAUUACUGACACAUCUUCUGACACACGCAAUGGGGCUUUAACCCAUUAAUUUUUUAUUCAAUAAUUGUCUAAUCGGCUGCAGAACAUAACAUUUUAACUCAAUGCAGCGGCGCAUCACACGUUCAAGUCUGUCAUAGCAACUAGCAAGAUACUGAAAACUUUUUUUUUUAAUGAGGCAAGAUACUGUAACUUUGAAUGUGACUAACGAGUUUUUACCCUUUCAAAAGAAUGUGACUAACGAGUUUUUACCCUUUCAAAAAAAAAAAACGAGUUUUUACAAUAUAUUUUAAGUAUUGCUUUUAUGAUACAAGUAUGCUGUGUUCUUAUUAUAGAGAGACGGAGGGGGAAAAUAAAUAGUUCGGUGUAUUUACUUUUUAUAUUAAGAAAUUAAAAUUAUUAACAACAUUUGCUUCGUAAGUUGAGAAUGGAAAUUAGAAUUGAAAUGGUGACACUCAUCUUAAUUAAAAAAUGAAGAAUAAGAAAUCGAUCUUCAAAGACGUGGGAAUCAGCCUCACUUUCCUAUAAAUACAAUUUUACCCAUAUCAGCAUUUUGAUAUUCCAAAAUACUCUCCUUUAAAUAAAAAAUUAAAUAAAAAAAAAUCGCAACCGAACCUCCAUCUUAGCCGAACCAAAAUCAAGCGCAGUCAUCAUCGUUGUUGAUCCGUCGGUUGUGAAAUAACAGUUGGUUGCCGGUUUUGUCUAAAUUUGAUUUGUCUCCAUUUCGUCUCCGAUGGCCCAUGGUUCCAAUCUAAUGAUAAUAAUGAUGAUCCCAAUUUUGAUUAUUACUAUUAUUAUUACUUUUUGAAAUGGAUUAUUAUUAUUAUUAGUAGUAUUAUAUUAAUGAUAAAAAGCAUCAUCAUCCUACUACUGCUACUACUACUAAUAAUAAUAAUAAUAAUAAUUGAAUAAUAAUAAGCACAAUAAUUAAAAUAAAAAUAAUAAUUAUGACAAUAAUUAAUUAAGAAUUUUGUAGUAAUUUAUAACAAUCUAAUUCAUUUCGAUUCAAAUUCCAAAACAACAUAAACACAUUAAUAAAAAUAGAGUUCAUUCCAAUUUUGAUUUUUAGAGCUCAAGUAAACAAUUUAUUCUGAGUUCGAUUCCACCUCUUUCCGUUCCCGCUAAUUAAAUGCAACGGUAGGAUUUUCUCAAAGUUACUUACAAAUAAUCUUUUCAAUGAUGCGAAAAAUACAUACUGACUUCGAGCGAAUGGCUGAAUUAACCAAUAACAUGACCACCUUGUUUAUCCUCCAUGAACUAAUAAUACAUACAGACUUCAAACCCUUCAAACAUUUGAUUAUUAGAUGGUUCCUAGCCCCUUCAAUAUAACUUGUAGAAUAUACUUUUCUAAACAUAUAGAUAUAAAGUUUUUCGAAAUAAUAGAACCUCAACGGGGAAAAAGAUACCCUACAUCGAGCAAAACCAUUAAAUAAAAAACGAAAAAUCUCAGAAUACAAAUACUUUAAUUACAGAGCUAAAACCCCCAUACACAAGUUACAUAAAUAACAGAGGUAGAUGGGCCAAGGAUGGACAGAUCAUAGCAGAGAAAAUUCUACAAGCAAGUUCGUGCAAAAAUAUAUUAGGGAGAGCACCUUUCAAUAUGAUUUCCAUUUCACUUGGCUCAAACAAAUAUAAUACCAUUCUCCUUAAUGGUAUCAAGAACAAUCCCAAGCUUACCUCCAAUCCGCUCACCUUUUCUGGGUUCAUAAGACAUUGCAUAUACAUCAGCAUCCUUUGAUCGCUCAGCAAUUAGCUUCCCUAUAAUUCGGCAUGCAUUGUGAUCAGUGAGAGAUGGUAGAGUGUUUCUGAGAUCCUUGGCAUUUGUGGUAGCAACUGAUAUAACUUUACUUGUUGAGCGGUGCAUCACUUUAGCAUGAACGAAUUUCUUAGAAAAGAAAACAUUAAGUAAAAAUGGCCGCAUGUACAUAUCUGUCCUCUGCUUCCAUGAUUUCCUGUUAGGUCUCUUAUCAAGUUCACCCCGAGACCUCCGCGUCCAAGCAGCUUGAAUAAAAGAAUCCUAAAAAUAUUUGGAAAUAAAGGAUCAGUUACCUUUCUUUUUUAAUCAAGAGAUGCUAGCAUUGAUUGACAACUUAUCACUGUUAAUAAAUGCCAACUAACUAGCUAGUCCAAUCUCUUGGCAUCUUGCUAUUUCUUUUCUAUUAACGCUAUAAAAGAGAAACAACAGUAAAGCAGAGGUCCACAAGGGAAUAAAAAGCAGCCAGGGUAAAAUCUAUUGGCAUCAGUACCAAAGACCUGAAAUCAAAUAUUGCCAUCACCAAGGAUUGGAAGGUCAAUGAUUGAAGAAUCCCAAGCCAUGGGGGUUUUCCAUGUCUACAAACUCAAUAAUACAUUUUAAUUGUUUCUGGAGAAUUUCCAAGCAAAUUAUAUCUUGAACAGAUCUAUCUGAAAUCAGGACAACUGAAAUUUGUAGUUGGCAAAAGUUUGAGCACUAAUGCAAAUUGCAAUCACAGAUAAGUUCUCUAUCAACAAAUAACAAUAAAUCACAAGAAAAGAAGUCCUCACAUCAAGCUAAACUUAAAGGGAUGACCAAAUGAAACUUCAAGGGUGAUAAUUAUUUAUGUCAGAGUGCAUAAUUAAAUCUUCCAAGAGAAAAUGACUAGACUAUUAAGCCUUAUGCAUGGAUAUAGAAAGUUCCGAGUUCCCUUACUGCAGGCAAAUAAUGAAUGCUGUGUGCAAGGAAUUCAAAGGACCACAUCAGACUCUCUAAAGAUCCAAUUCAAGUGCCUAUGCUCUAUGUUUCAAUCCCACAAUAAAACAGCUGAUGCUUAAUGUCAUAAUUACAAAAAAUAAAUAAAUAAGUAAAAAUAAAAUUAAAAAUGAAAUAUGAAAAAUGAAAAAUGAAAAAAGGGUGUUUGCAAAUUCUUAACAGUCCAGGAGGAGGUGGUUUCUCAGCAUAAUGGAAAUAGAAAAGAGCAACCAUUUAUGACAUUUUAAAACAAGACAAGAUCAAGCUAUGUUUCAAAAUAGUAAGCCUGAGUACUUUUUCUUUUUUUUUGAAGCCUUCAGCAAUUGAAGCUUCUUGAAUGAGUUAGAUAGUUUCCCAUACGUGUCAAAGCUAGCAGAGGCCUACUCUCAAUGUCUGGGUUAUAAAAGCAAAACAUCAGGUUUUGAUGAACUCAGGGAUCCCAGAAACAACUACUUUACUCAGAGCAAAACAAGCAAAGUGGGAAGCAGAAUAGACAAAGCGGUCAGACCUGCCAAAUAGCUCACCCUCCUACCAUACCAAAAUCCAUAGAUAACUCCAAUGUAGGCACAAUAGCAAGAAUAUAGAACCUCGAUAUGAGCUUUCACAGACAUGCCUAGAGACGCUACCAUUGUCAGUUCCCCACUCUCCCAUCAAUCUAAGGCAUGUUGAUGCCUUGCAACUUUAUAAUUCUAAACCUCAAUCAUGAAAUGCAAGGAACUCUAAAUGUUACUUUGCUUGUUCAACAUAUAAUUGAUUAUGCUAUUGUUAGCCACUACCAUCAAUAAAAUAUCAAAAAAAGAAAAAAGAAAAAAAGUGAAGAAACUUGAUAUCUCCAUUCUGCUAAUGAAAUUACCCUCAGGAGCCAAGCUUGUGCAGCACAUAUUUUCUUGUCCAUGGCCACUUUGCGGCAUACCACCCAAGCCAUGAAACAUUAGUUAGGAGUAGGUUAUAAGUAUAUGGGAAGUUUAGCAAUUUCCAUUUUCUUGAAACUUCACAAUGUAAUGGCUCAAGCUUUUGGUUUAAAAAUGACUUGCAAGCCUCUUUAGUUACUGACCUAUUCAACCCAUAUUAGCUAAUUUCACGUAAACUACUGACUAUGAAGAUAUUUAACUUCGCAACUAAAGACAAUAAAGAAAUCUAAAAUAUUGAUAUUGAAAAAAUUUAAUUAAUUCCCCCAUCAUAUUUAAAUGCUUAAAUAGUACAAAUUUUAAUAACAACUUGAUUUUUCAAUUCAGUCAAUAAUAUUAACCACGAAAUUAUACUCAAUUAUGCAUUUUUCAAAGCAACAAAUAAGGAGGGAUUAAGUUGACAUUCCCAUUUCUAGCUAAUCAAAGUAGCAUAAGUUUCUAUCAAAAUGUUAUCUUUCUUUUAUUUUUCCUGGAAUCCAAAACAGAAGAUAUUAAAGGGGUAAGAAAAAGUGCGGACCUUUCUGUUAGUGGGAGUUGGAGGGCGAGUGAUUGAGCUGAUGGAGAUGCUGAUAGCGGGAAAUGAAGAGGCCCAUGAUAGAGAAGUGAGUUUAUCCGAACGAGUUGAGCGAAUCAAGCGUGUUGACUCAGGGGAGAUGUGUGAAGAAGAAGAUGAUAUGAUGCAGGCCGCCAUUAGUUUUGGGCUUCUCUAGCGGCAAGCGUCUCCACCUCUUCAGGCUUGUACGUUUGGAUGAGCGUUUUGUUUUGUUUUUCAUGUUUUAAUUUUUUUUAAAAAUCAUUAAAAAAUUAAAAUUGUUCUUUCUAAUUACCUAAAAGAUUAAAAAAAUAGUUAUUUAUAUUUAUUUAAUUAAGAAUUGAUUUUAGCGUACAAUGUUGGUUGUGAAAAAAAAAACUUUUUUAUACAUUUGCCAAAGACAUUAUCUUUUUUAUCACUCAAGCCGAUUCUAAUUUAUAAAUCAGUUUAUCUUUAUAUUUAUUUUUACGUACAUAAACAUAUGUAAUAAAUUCAAUCAUCUCUUGAAAUAUAAAUUGAUUAUUUUUUAAAAAUUAUUUAUGAAUGCUUAUAAUAAAUAUCUCUUAUUUAUUAUUUUGGUAUUAGUUUUUUUUUAAUAAUGUUGUUGUCGUUGAUGUUUUUUUCUUUCCUUUUUUUGGUUAUUAUUAUCAUUAUUAUUUACAAUAAAAGAGUAAACACAUUUCGCAUCGGUCCUCACCUCAUUACGAUUUAUGGGCCUCGAACAAUAACCAUUAUUUUUUUAAAAGGCCCAGAUAGGUCCUCUCCUUUUGUGUCCAUCGCAAUUCAAUUUCAACAUCACAACCACGAGAGACCAGUUAAGCGAUUGAAAAGUAAAAGGAAAAGGAAACCAAAUAGACUCCCACUUUUAUCAAAAAAUGGUCGCUUUAAGCCCGUUGUCUCGACUCUCGUGGUCUUCCACUUAGAAUUUCCUUUUUCUUUAUAAACUACGUAAAUUUCACACAAGUCUCCCAUAUUUCGUUUAAAUACAAUGGAGCCUUAAAUGAUUCAAAUUUCAUCACCCCAUCUUAUAUGUAAUAAGCUAAUCACAUAAAUCCAACGAUAUUUUUUUUAAAAAUAUUUGAAAACUUAUUGCUUGCUAAGUUUCUUUCAAUUGUUAAUUUCUAUGGUUGAAAAAUGAAAAUGUCAUGAUCAUAACGGGAAAUAUAUUUUGUGAAAAACAACAUUUUAUACAUGUGAAAAAAUAAGAAAAAUUAUUAUAAUCUUUUCUUUUUAAAAAAAAAUCUCAUAUCUAUUCAAAAAAAGUGUCGCAUAGUAUCAAGAUAUGGAUUAUAAUCGUAUUUACUUAUAACCAAAAAGGAAUUUAAGUGACACUUUUAAAAACUUAUGUAAUGUUUGAAGCUCGUAUGUAAUUAAGAGAAAUAGAAUAUACCUCAAUGAAAUUUGGUUUUUCCAAAAGUUUUCAACAUCCGUGCGGUUGGUAAACGAGUGUGUGUCCGUCCCACUAACAAAGCUGGCGCUUUAAUUCUCCAACAAUCGAAAUCCUUUUCUCUUCCUCUUCAGUUGCACAUUCCAUAUUCACUCCCACUCAGUCAGACUCACUUACUUCAAGCUGGCAACAGAAACUGUCACGCGCCUCGGAUCAGAAGUCACGUGCUGCAGUUAAUUCCUUCAACCUCAAAAUCAGAAAAUUAAAAAUCACUCUUUCCGUUCAAUGUACUUCAAACACAAAUAAAAUUUCAUUCAAUUCUUCUUCAGAUCCUCACCAUUCCCUAGGGUUUCGUAAUUUGUAACUUUUAAUUAUCUGUAAUUCAUUUCGGUUCCUUCACUUACUUACUUGCAUCAUGCACGGACUAAGCCGCCUCGGCUCCGCCCGCUCCACCACGUCAUCUCCGCCGUCCUCCCCCCGCUUCCGCCACGGCCGUAACAAGAACAUAGCCGGAAGUCGUGUCGGCAGUGGAGGAGGAAAGCAGAAUUUAGUUGAGAAACUGGUAGUCGUUUUGAUAUCGGCCGUGUUUAAACGCAAAGGCGUGCUGUUAGUGGCGCCGUUGUUGUACAUAUCAGUAAUGUUACUGUACAUGAGCUCGUUCGGCUUCGAUGUUGUGGAUUUGAAGAGUGUUGUUGUUGUGCGUGAGCGUGCGCCGCCUGGCUCCGUGUACAGAAGUCCUCAGGUUUUUCAAAAGCUUUGGCCGUUUAUGCAAGCGGAAGCUAUUGCUAACAAUACGGUACAGUUAUAAGCUUCAUGCAAUUUUUUUUUCCUUUUUUUCAUUGUUAUUUAUUUUCCUUAAGUUCAUUUCUUGCAUGUUAAUGUACAGCUGAAGUAGAUUUGACUGAAAUUAAAAAUGCUCAAAUCAAAAUCAUGCAGUUGAUGACAGCGUGGAAUUCGAAAGUGCACCAACCCUGGAAGCCUUGCGCCGACAGGAGUAAUUCGAAUGCAGGUUCAAAAUUUUAUCUGUUUUUCAAUGUCGUUUCUUCACCGCCGCCCCUGCUGUNNNNNNNNNNNNNNNNNNNNNNNNNNNNNNNNNNNNNNNNNNNNNNNNNNNNNNNNNNNNNNNNNNNNNNNNNNNNNNNNNNNNNNNNNNNNNNNNNNNNNNNNNNNNNNNNNNNNNNNNNNNNNNNNNNNNNNNNNNNNNNNNNNNNNNNNNNNNNNNNNNNNNNNNNNNNNNNNNNNNNNNNNNNNNNNNNNNNNNNNNNNNNNNNNNNNNNNNNNNNNNNNNNNNNNNNNNNNNNNNNNNNNNNNNNNNNNNNNNNNNNNNNNNNNNNNNNNNNNNNNNNNNNNNNNNNNNNNNNNNNNNNNNNNNNNNNNNNNNNNNNNNNNNNNNNNNNNNNNNNNNNNNNNNNNNNNNNNNNNNNNNNNNNNNNNNNNNNNNNNNNNNNNNNNNNNNNNNNNNNNNNNNNNNNNNNNNNNNNNNNNNNNNNNNNNNNNNNNNNNNNNNNNNNNNNNNNNNNNNNNNNNNNNNNNNNNNNNNNNNNNNNNNNNNNNNNNNNNNNNNCCCCCCCCCAAAUCGUCGAAACAAUAGUAUAGGAGUACUAGUAUUACCUUAUGCUUGAGAGGCUGCAAGAAGCUAACUGCUGUUUUAUGUUUUGAGAUUCUCAGAAUUGCCAAAAUCAAAUGGUUUCCUUAUAAUUGAAGCUAAUGGUGGGUUGAACCAGCAACGCUUGUCGGUAUGUUUCGGCUCUAGCAUAAAAAUUGUUCUCUUGAUUCUAUCAGUUGUAAGGAAAUUGCAGCAUGUUCUUAUAUGCAUGCUACCAAAAUUAUGUAUUAGAGAAUGUAGUUGCAUAUGGUUUGAUUUGUUACAAUGUGGUUCUCGCCAUUCACUAGAAUAUGAUCAAGAUGCAUGGGAUGGUGUAUUAGAUAAUAUACUUAAUAUUGUCCUAGAUGGACAUUUUGGGGCUUAUUUUUGGAACUUUGAGAUUUGACUUCAUCUUUUUCUGGUUGUUCCUUAUGGAUUGUCAGAAUAAGGCAUCCGUCAUCUAGAUUCAUUUAUUACAGUAGGCAUAUCCUUCGAAACUAGCAUUUACCAAUUAAUUGUUGCAUGAAGAAUGGGAAUGAUUGGAUUUUGGAUGCGUCUUGAAAUGACUGCUAAACUAUUUUUGCUAAGAUUUUCUUACUGCACUCGUCCCUAUUGCUUUCCUCUUUCCUCUUUCUCUUGGUAAAAUUAUUUGGGUUUUGAUGUUGAAUAAGUUAUAGCUAUAAGACACUUCAUUUUGUGUUGCAUGAGCGUGGUUGUUUAUUACUAACUUUCCAUAAGAAAAUAUCCAUUAAUUGAUCUAAAUAUUAAAUUUACACUUGGUGCAUAUUGUUACAUUUUAAAUAUACAUUGCGAACUAUAGGCUUGGUGUAUAUUGUUACGUUUUAAAAAUAUAUUGCUAGUUAUGGGAAUGUUGUUGCAAUAAUAGGGCCAGAUACGGCCUGCCAAUGAUACAAACUCAACAUUGUAUGCCUUGAUAAUAGGGGUGUCAACCUUUAAAUUACAUCUUUGGUGUGUAACUUUUCUCUGUUUUAUUUAUUUGUUUAUUUACAGAUAUGUGAUGCGGUAGCAGUGGCAGGACUACUGAAUGCAACGCUUGUCAUUCCAAUUUUUCAUUUAAAUAGUGUAUGGCGAGAUUCCAGGUGAUUAUUGAUACUGUUAUUCUAAGACCUUAAGUCCUUAACCUCUUUUGUAUCUCAUUCUUUCCUCAGAAAAAUAUAAUUCUUAGUUUCUUCUCAAACGUUGUUUUUUCAAACUACAAAAAGAUGAGGGCCAAAAUGAUGCUUUAGUCUUUUGAAAAGAUGGAGCAGUUAUGGAGCAGUGCUUGUCCUCUUAAUGUAAAAAAUAUCACUUAUUUUAUCUCAUAAUUUACUCCUUUAAGCCAUAUUUCUUAAACACAUAUAUAUUUAAUUUUUUUCCUUUGAAUUGCAAGAUUUUUUAGUUUGACUUUAUUCCUUACAUUUUUCCUUUUUCUGAACAAUUUGAAAUUUUUGCAGCAAUUUUGGGGAUAUAUUUGAUGAAGAUUUUUUCAUGCAUGCACUUAGAAGUAAUGUGAAUGUUGUCAAGGAACUCCCAGAGGAUAUACUUCAACAGUUUGACCACAAUAUAAGCAGCAUCGUGAAUUUGAGAGUAAAAGGAUGGUCCAGCCCAACCCAUUAUCUGCAAAAGGUCCUGCCAAAGCUGCAGCAUCUGGGGUAUGCAUUCUUAACUCCAAAUGUUUUAAAUUGAUCAAUACUCUCCAAGAAGAAGCUAAAUUAUUGGGGAUUUUUCUUUGAACAUCCCUUAUUGCAAUGACAAUAUCAUUUCCCUACCAAAUCAAUUUAAAUUGCAUGUUUAUAUUUGAGAAGCCAAAUAUUGGAUUGUUAUUAUCAUUUAACAUUUAUUGGAAAAAGAAAAAUGUUUAGGGUCAUUUUUAGCACCAUGAAUCGUCUGAUUGCUGAUUUCAAAUAGAUCAUUAUGGUAAGCUCUGCCAUGCUAUAGAGUUUUUGGAAUUGUUAGUCAUAUAUAUGGCCCUUUAUUGUUUACAGUGGUUACAACACAAAGUUGUUAACCAUGGAUCAAAAAUUUGUUGACAGUUGGAAUUGUGUGCGUAAAAUUCAAUCUUCAAUCCACUUGCAAUAAUUUGGGGUUGAACCUUAUUUCUAAAUAGUUUUGUUAAUGGAAGUUUAUCUCAUUUCUUUUCAACAAACAUACAAAUCCAAAGCUUAUAGCCUCAUUUCAUGAUGCAGGGCUGUGCGAAUUGCACCUUUCUCCAACAGACUGGCUCAGGGUGUUCCUUCAAAUAUUCAGGGACUUAGAUGCUUAGCCAAUUUUGAAGCACUUAGGUUUUCCGAACCUAUAAGAAUGCUUGCCGAGAAAAUGGUUGAUCGAAUGGUUAAGAAUAGCUCUCAGAGUGGUGGAAAAUAUGUUUCAGUUCAUCUUCGAUUUGAAACGGUACUAUACCUUUUCGAUUUGCUACCAUGGAAAGAUUGUGGGUUAUUUUAUUUCCUCCUAUUGCUGUAUCCUUUAUCAUUUCUGAGUGUCAGUUUCCUUUUCUCUCAAGGAUAUGGUUGCAUUUUCUUGCUGUGAAUAUGAUGGUGGGGAGGAAGAGAAACGUGAAAUGGAUAUUGCUCGAGAAAGAAGUUGGAGGGGGAAAUUCAGGAAAAGAGGACGAGUAAUAAGACCGGGUGCAAAUCGUGUGGAUGGAAAAUGUCCUUUAACGCCAUUGGAGGUGCUAAACUGCAUUGAACUCUCUGCCCUUCCAUCUAUCAAUCUACUUUUUAACAAAUUUAUUUUGAUUUGGUUUCUUGUAAAAUAUGAAUAUCUACUUCUGAAACUAUGUUUCGUCUUAUUAAAGAACAAAUUCCUCAAAUGUUGUGCAAACACAUUGCAGUUCCUUGUUAUAAUAACUGGAUAAAUUAAAUGUUUAAUAAAAUCAAAAUGCUUGGAUUCUUUUGAAUGCUCCGUCUUCACGGUGUUUGGUUCUCCAGGUAGGAAUGAUGCUUAGGGGCAUGGGUUUUGAUAACACCACCUCAGUAUAUGUUGCAGCAGGUAAGAUUUAUAAAGCUGAAAAGUACGUGGCACCACUUAGGCAGAUGUUUCCACGCUUAGAAACAAAGGACACUCUAGCUACUCCAGAAGAACUUGCUGCAUUUAAGGUAUCAUAUUGCCAUAUUGGUGGUCUGUGAUCUUUAAAUUGAUUUAAAGAAUAAAAAUAACAAUGCUAGGAACUUCUCGUUUGUAAUACUCGAAGGUUCUUAUAUGUAGGGCCACUCGUCUAGAUUGGCUGCUCUUGACUAUACAGUUUGCCUUCACAGUGAAGUAUUUGUCACAACACAAGGUGGAAAUUUUCCCCACUUCUUAAUGGGUCAUAGGCGCUACUUAUAUGGAGGACAUGCGAAGACAAUUAAGCCUGAUAAGAGAAAAUUAGCUCUGUUAUUUGAUAGGCCAAAUAUCAGGUACAUUGCUAUUCAACUCCUGCAAUUUUAAAUUUUCACUUCUGAGUCAUUCGCGACACUGCUUGAUUUGAGCAAGGGAGAAAUCUUGUUUGCAAAAAGAUUGUGCUAAAAAACUCAUCAAAAUUUCAUUUUGGUGCUUGCCAAUGCCAAUCUUACAGCUGAUCUUUCUCAUUCCAUAUUUGUAACAUGGGGUAGGACCAAUUGUUGAACCAUUGGAUCAAUGUGCAAACGGUUGAGAUUAAAUCUGACACAUCUAAUUAAUGCAUAGUAAUGCACCUUAUUUUACGUACACUUGAGAUUUAAUUCAACCAGUGUAAAAUGUUUUGUCUCCUUGAUCCAAACCUUAUGUAUGUGGAUCUAGUAGCUUUUCGUGACAGCAAUUUUGUAGUUUAAUGAUAUUUUUUAUCUACAUCUGGCCAGAUGGGAUGAUUUCAAGCGACAAAUGAAAGAUAUGCUUUCUCACAGUGAUGUGAAGGGAAGUGAGUUAAGGAAACCGAGUGCAUCGCUUUACACAUUUCCCAUGCCAGAUUGCAUGUGUAAACAACCAGAAGCUUCAAAUGAACACGGUAACACUAAGAAACUAACUUCAUAAUACGGAUAUUGAUUAAAGAAAUUGUCACUAGGGUUAGAAAUUUUUAUUUAUCUGUAACUUAUGAAGCAUGAUUCAACUAAACUCUAAUUAAAUUCUUUUGUUGUAGUGAUGGGAGUGAAAUUAGGUUAUAAUUCUUUGAAAUUGAUUGACUAAGCUACAAUUUGUAGUUUGCCACUCGAAAUUCAUUGUAUAUGAUUCAAUUGAUGUGAGUAAAAUUUUAUUUGGACUGUGUAUUCUAUGAUACAUCUUGUUCUUAGUGGCUUAUGACCAUCAACGACCACAUCGAUAGAAAGUCGAAAACUAUGGGGAGUGGAGAUAAUUCAGUAGAUUGGACCUUUUUUUUUUCAUUGUGCGGUGUUCCUUAUCCGAAGUUCCAUUUGCCAUUUGUGUUUUGAAAGAAUAUAAAAUCAUGGGUGCAAUUUUGUCCAUUGAGUACACAUUGACAAUGAUGCCCUUGAAAUAGAGCACCAGUUUUAAGUAGCUCAUGCCUUUGGUGAGGACGGAUGGGGAAAACUAUGCCCCCAGGAAUUUCCUUAAUUGAUAAAUCUAAUGAAAGAUCAACUUGCAUAAGAGUGGGUUAUUUGCAAAUUGCAAGGGUAGAAGGCGUUUGCGAUUCUGAAGAAUGCUUUCUACUUUUGGAAAUGAAAAUCCACCUAAAUAAUAUUGUCUGUAAUAUUUUGUAAAACUUGUUUUUCAGAAUAGAAAACUGUUAAACAUGUUCACAAAUAAUUAUAACAUGGAAACUGAAAUCAAGAGAGAUUGGUUCUCUAUGGGACGGCAUGUUUGGGAAAAAGAAGGAACGUGUACACAAAUUUCGUUCAAUUUUUUGAGUUGUCAUACUUGAUUUUCCAAAAAUCAUUCAGAGCCAAAUAUUAGUAGCUCAAAUUUCGUGUACAAGUUGAUGUGUGAUCAAGUAUUAUUGAAUAAAAAAUAACAUGAAGAGUAACUUCUACCACAAAAAUAUGUGAUAAAUUGUUAUAGCAUAAGAAAAAUCAAGAAGAUUAUUUUCCAAUUUCAAACAUUAUCUCUAUUCAACAUAUGGACAAAAGAGAGCCCAAAAGAGAGAGUCGGGGAAAAAAAAAAAAGACAAAAUAAAGCCCAAAAAUGUGACGUAAAAUCAAGAAUACAACAGAUGUAUUCUAGAAUUUAUGCACCAGUAGAUAGAUGGAAGAAGCUACCAACCUACCCAAAUCAAUAUUCAAUGAUUCAAUCUAUCUCUCUCUCUUCUCCCUCCUAAUCUCAAAUCAAACCACCUGUGAAAUGUAUGUAUGCGUGUAUACAUGUAUAAUUUAAUGUCUACCAACUUGGUCAAAAUCUCAUAACGAUCGAGUCUCUUGCCUUCUCUCUCUCUCUCUCUCUCUCUCUCUCUCUUCAGAUAAAUGACAAGUCCCCAUCUCUCGUGUUAAAAAAACUCUUUUACAAAACGAACCGAACCCAUCUCUCUUUUUCUUCAUUUCAUGUUGAGAAAAAUUUAAAACAAAACUCAACUCUUCAUCGUCAUCAUAAACAAGAACAUGGGACGUUCGCCUUGCUGUGAAAAGGCUCAUACAAACAAAGGAGCUUGGACCAAAGAGGAAGACCAAAGGCUUAUCGAUUACAUUCGUGCUCAUGGCGAAGGCUGCUGGCGCUCUCUCCCCAAAGCUGCCGGUACAUUUUUUUUAGUAUAUUUUUUUCCUUUCAUUUUCUUCUUCUUAGUUCGGAAAAAAAAAAAAGAGAUUUUGAAUAUUGUUAAUAUAUGUGUGUGUUUUAAUAAAUUUCUCAGGAUUGCUAAGAUGCGGCAAGAGUUGUAGAUUGAGAUGGAUAAACUAUCUACGCCCUGAUCUUAAGCGUGGGAAUUUUACCGAUGAAGAAGAUGAACUCAUUAUCAAACUUCAUAGUUUGCUUGGAAACAAGUAAUUAAUUAAACUUUUUCUCUCUUUUUGUUAUUAUAAUUUUUAUUUGUUUAGGGGUAGGUUAAUUUUAAUUAUUAGAUCUAAGAAAAACUCUUUUUUUUUUUUUUCCUUUUUCCUGAGUGGGGGGUGUUUUGAAUUUGUGUAAUGUGCAGGUGGUCGUUGAUAGCUGGAAGAUUACCAGGCAGAACAGAUAAUGAAAUAAAGAAUUAUUGGAAUACACACAUCAAGCGGAAGCUACUUAACCGGGGCCUUGACCCUCAAACUCACCGGCCCCUCAACCAAAUUCAUAACCAUAAUAAUUUCAACAAAUACGCCAUUAAUAAUAAUGAAGGAAUAAUUCAACCCAAGAAUUUGAUCAAGCCCAAGUCAGAAUCAUCUUUCGACGAUGAUAACAACACCUCCACCACCAACAACAACAACUGCAGCACCAGUGGCAUGACCGCUGAUGAAGAGCCGCCAAAAAAUGUACAGCUACAUCAACAAGAGCAAAAGCAAAUGCAUAGCAGCACCCAUUAUCAAGAAAAUCUCAACUUGGAGCUAUCCAUUGGACUUGCGCCUCCUAAUUCUGCCCACUCAAGACCACUGCAGCAACGAAAACAGCCGCAGCAGCAGAAGCAGGUUGUUGACUACGACAAGUUUUUUGAAGUGAAGCAAGCGGUUUGUUUGUGUUGGCAGCUGGGGUUUGGGAGAAGUGAACUGUGUAAGAAUUGUACUCAAAAUUCUAAUGGGUUUCGCAGAUAUAUUACAGGCCUUUAGGUUAGAUUCAUGUUUUUUUUUUUUUUCCCUUUUUUUCUCUCUAGGGUGGAUGGGUUUUAAAUAACUUAAAAUGUAUCAAUUAAUUGAUGGGCUAGCUCCAACAUUUGAUUACCUGCCGAUGCAAAAUCCAGGUAAUUUCACAAGACAAUGUGUGUACAUGUAUGCCGUUGCUGAGCCUGAGCUGACAUUUUAGAAAAUUUGCAUAAUUAUUACUCCUUGAAAAGUAUCGAGUGGGUAGGUAGGUAAUUAUAGAUUUGGUUGGACCUUCCACCUUGUCUUUUGCUUUGUACUAUCUGGCGAGUGCAUUGGGAACAACACUUAUCUUCUUUUUUCUCUUUUUUCUUUUUAAAGGAACAGCUAUCUUCUUUUGUUUUUCUUUAAACGACAGUGUUUUAGUCAGUAGUUCCUUUUUUUUUUUUUUUUUUAUGACAUGAGACUAUUGCUCAAAUUAUAACUUAUAUUACAUGAGAGUAUAACUGAUAUGUACAAUUAUAUAUAUAUACUGAGAUCUAUUAACAUUAAUGCUGAUAUGGCACUGUUCAGAUUUUUGUAACCCUCUCAAAUAUUCGAGGGACGUCAAACUCCCAUCCUGGGACAAAGACUGCCUUCACUCAAGCUCUAUGACUCCAAGGAAGGAAAUAUAAAUGAAACUCCUACAAUGCGACUGCGGAGGCUCGAACUCAUUCCCUCACAUAUGUGAGGGAGUGGCUCUAGCCACUUGGGCUAGCCCAAGUGGUUGUCAGUGGUUCCUUCUUAAUAACAGAGAACAAAGACCCGUCAUUAAGAUAUGAUUUGAUUUUGAUGUGAGGUAGUUAUACUUUAAAAGACGUAACAUUAAAGUAUUUAAUAAAUAUUAAUUAUUUUGAUAUUAAAAUUAUGUCGAUUUUUUUUCAUAGUAUAUUUAGAAUUUAAAAGUUGAAAGUUAUGUCAAUUUUCCUUCUUCUGCAUAAUAACUAUAAGUUAAAAGUGGUGACACUUUUAAAGACGCUUAAUUUCCUUCACUUACGCCACUAAUUUUAUGAGGAAAGAGAGUAAGUAGUAUACUGACAACUUUGUUUUGUUCUCGAGAACAUGAUGAUUAUGCAUUCAUUAAUCAUUAUUCAGAAACCAAAUAGCGCUUUCCCAUAAUAAUGUUUGAAGAGUUAGUAAGCAGUAACAAUAACACUAAAAAUAAAAUUAGUAAACAUAAGAUAUGACACCAGGGACGAGGGACUAUCUAUAUCUGUUGUCAUUCCCACAUAUAAUAUUGGCUGAGUCUAUAAUUUUUUGACAUAAGUAUAUACCAAAUGAAUAUGGAAAUAUUUUAAAUGAGUAAUACAUUAUGCUAGCUAGAUAUACAAAAUUAGGAUGCCAAUUGCCAAACAAAGAAAAUGAUUAAUAAUAUAAAACAGCAAGAACAUGGAUGGAUUCUCUAACCAAAACCUAUACCUAAUUUCUUGCUAAAUAUGAUACUAGAGACAUUUGCUUUCAAAAUAAUCAAACCUAACAUUCCAAAUGCUAUUAGUAUAUUGAGUACGAUCACAUGUAAUGUUGUAUCAUCACGCUAUCAUUUGAUACUCAUGUUCUAUUCUAUCUAUGGGCCAAUAAUAAUAAAAAAAAUCUUAGUAAAGAAGAAAUUGUUAUUAGGUUUCCAUUAAUUAAAAAAUUGAUGGUCACAUGUUUGGUAUCGCAUGAUGAUGAUAGGUUCUCCCAGGAAUGACGGAUCCCCUUCUACCUAAAAGCACCCAACUCUACUAAUUAGUAUUUUGACAAUUCUCUUCUAAUAAAUUGAUUCAGCUUCUAAGGAUACCACGCCAUAUAACCUCUUUAAUAUUUACCUCUAAAUAGUCUAGUAAUUUCGAAAUAUUUGUAUUUCCCUAACUUAAUUACACCUCUUUCUUUCUU
rnacentral:lncRNA from 1 species